GGCGAAGUUACGUCCAGUUUCUGCCCCAGGAAAAAAGGUUAUUCACUGGUUGAAGAGCAGUAUCUAUCAUGGACAAAAGCUUCCUUCAUGAGAAGAUGUUUUUAUCAAGCUCAACUUGGAUUGUCAUAUUUGCAUCACUUCUUCCUUUUCUAAGGUUAGUCACUGGUUGAAGUGCAGUAUCUAUCAUGGACAAAGCUUCCCUCGUGAGAAGAUGUUUUGAUCAAGCUCAACUUGGAUUGUCAUAUUUGGGACAGCUUUGCAUCACUCCUUCCUUUUCUAAGGUUAUCCACCGAUUGAAGAGCAGUAUCUAUCAUGGACAAAAGCUUCCUUCAUGAGAAGAUGUGUUUUAUCAAUCUCAACUUGGACUGUCAUAUUUGGGACAGCUUCGCAUCACUCCUUCUUUUUCUAAGGUUAUUCACUGGUUGAAGAGCAGUAUCUUUCACGGACAAAAGCUUCCUUCAUGAGAAGAUGUUUUUUAUCAAGCUCAACUUGGAUUGUCAUAUUUGGGACAGCUUUGCAUCACUUCUUCCUUUUCCAAGGUUAUUCACUGGUUGAAGAGCAGUAUCUAUCACGGUCAAAAGCUUCCUUCAUGAGAAGAUGUUUUAUAUUAAGCUCAACUUGGAUUGUCAUAUUUGGGACAGCUUUGCAUCACUCCUUCCUUUUCUAAGGUUAUUCACUGGUUGAAGAGCAGUAUCUAUCAUGGACGAAAGCUUCCUUCAUGGGAAGAUGGUUUUAUCAAGUUCAACUGGGAUUGUCAUUUAUAGGACAGCUUUGCAUCAAUCCUUCCUUUUCUAAAGGUUAUUCACUGGUUGAAGUGCAGAAUCUAUCAUGGACAAAAGCUUCCUUCAUGAGAAGAUGUUUUAUCAAGCUCAACUUGGAUUGUCAUAUUUGGGACAGCUUUGCAUCACUCCUUACUUUUCUAAGGUUAUUCACUGGUUGAAGUGCAGUAUCUAUCAUGGACAAAGCUUCCUUCGUGAGAAGAUGUUUUUAUCAAGCUCAACUUGGAUUGUCAUAUUUGGGACAGCUUUGCAUCACUCUUUCCUUUUCUAAGGUCAUUCACUGGUUGAAGAGCAGUAUCUAUCAUGGACAAAAGCAUUCCUUCAUGAAAAGAUGUUUUAAUCGAGCUCAACUUUGAUUGCCAUAUUUCGGACAGCUUUGCAUCACUCCUUCACUUUCUAAGGUCAUUUACUGGUUGAAGAGCAGUAUCUAUCAUGGACAAAAGCUUCCUUCAUGAGAAGAUGUUUUUAUCAAGCUCAACUUGGAUUGUCAUACUUGGGACAGCUUUGCAUCACUCCUUCACUUUCUAAGCCACUGCUGGACGGAAUCAUCAGCCAUCAUGAAACCUUGAUCCAAUCCAGCUAAGGCAGAUCCCAGGCUUCCAUGGAUACUAUCUAUCGAGGACCAUGGGUACAAUCUUUUUGAGCCAUCAUGGAGCUGACUAUUGAGAACUGAGAAGAUGUCGGCCAGUUUUUCAGUCUGAAUGGCCAUCUCUGCAGUAAGGACAACAAAGUUGGACUGUUAUACAAGAACCAUUGGUGCAAGGACCAUGGGUACAAUCUUCUUGCACCAUCAUGGAGCUAACAUUAAAGAACUGAGAAGACCAAGGAUCAAUGGAGUCAUCUUGUACAGAUUCUUGUAAUGAAAAGACUGCUUUAGCGUCAAACUACAACUUUCCCUUCACAUGGACCAUGGGUACAAUCUUUAUGCGCCAUCAUGGAGCUUACUUCAAAGAACUGAGAAGACCAAGGAUCAAUGGAGUCAUCUUGUACAGAUUCUUGUAAUGAAAAGACUGCUUUCACUUUAUCGUGGACAAAUGCUUAACAUCAAACCUCAACUUCCCUUCUCAUGGUAAUUCACUUCUGUUCAUACGUCUAACAACUUCUCUCCUUACAUCUGAUAUCUUCUCUCCAUACGUCUAGCAACUUCCCUUCUUACGUCUAAUUUACUUCUCUUCAUACUUCUAACAACUUCUCUCCAUACGUCUAACAACUUCUGUUCAUACGUCUAACAACUUCUCUUCAUACGUCUAACAACUUCUCUCAAUACGUCUAACAACUUCUCUUCAUACGUCUAAUGUACUUCUCUUCAUACUUCUAACAACUUCUCUCCAUACGUCUAACAACUUCUCUUCAUACGUCUAACAACUUCUCUCAAUACGUCUAACAACUUCCCUUCUUACGUCUAAUUUACUUCUCUUCAUACUUCUAACAACUUCUCUCCAUACGUCUAACAACUUCUGUUCAUACGUCUAACAACUUCUCUUCAUACGUCUAACAACU